GGAAGAGGCUGAGGAAGGGAGAAGUGGUGUAUACAGGGGUGUGGAGGUGAACACAGGGCUUGGAGGGAGGCGUCACUGCCAGGGAAGUUCAAGGUUACGCCAGCAAUGUUGCCCAUCUUUACUGGGAAUUUCGUUUUGCCGGCCUUAAGUGUCCUGCCCAUAAAUGAUACAUCCGCUGUGGUGUGGAAGCAAUGCCUACCUGUUUCUGCUCUCCUUGACUCUACAGCACAUAGAGGAAGCUACUCUCUUAUUGGUACUCUAUGUCUGCCUCCAGGACAACUAAAGAUUAAGAAGAUCCUUGGACACUUGAUGAGGAGAUUUGUGAGUUGGACUCAGCAUGCUUGAGCAUCUCAGUUUGGAACAUUAGAAACAGACACUUGUGCUGUAUGUACAGAGUACAGUAAAGCCGGAAUCAAUCUAAGGCUCUCUGACCUCCCCUGUCUCCCUGUGGACCUCAGUGUCAUCGCAGCUCUCUCUGAUGACCCAAAGGCAAGCUCCCUGGACUUGACUCUUGAAUUAUAGAAGAGCCUUCACACUGUUCACUGAUGUCACCAGCUGAAGUUUUCAAGAACUUGGACUGCUCUUGCCUUUGUGCCAUUACUGUCCUUGAUGCCGACAGCUACAGAGUCUCCACGAAGCACGUCAGCGCAGGUAUUUAUUUGCCUCCAAUCUCACGUUCCUGGCAACGAGCACAAGCUUCUUCUAGGAUGCAAGCUCCAUGAGAACAGGCACUUGGCCUGUUUUGUUCCCUGCUAUAUCCCUGGUCGCUAGAAGAACUCCUGGUACAUAGUAGAUGCUCAGUAAAAUUUACAGGAAGGGUGAAUGAAGGAU